rnacentral:ncRNA from 1 species
GUCAUGGUGAAGCACAUACUGUGUGGAGUAAAAAGGGAAUCCGGUCAGAAACCGGAACAGUCACCACUACUGUAAUGCAGACGAAAAAGCAGAAGGCCACUGGCAGAUAUUGCCGGGAAGGCGCUUUGGAGGAAGAAGCUGAGUCAGGAGACCUGCCAUGAUUGAU